GGAGUUUGGGCCGUGUCUCAGUCCCAAUGUGGCCGGUCACCCUCUCAGGUCGGCUAUGGAUCGUCGGCUUGGUGGGCCGUUACCUCACCAACUACCUAAUCCAACGCGGGUCCAUCGUAUGCCGAUAAAUCUUUUCACACUGCAAUCAUGCGAUGCUGUGCGCUUAUGCGGUAUUAGCAGUCGUUUCCAACUGUUGUCCCCCUGCGUACGGCA
rnacentral:rRNA from 1 species